rnacentral:rRNA from 1 species
ACGAACGCUGGCGGCGUGCUUAACACAUGCAAGUCGAACGGAAAGGCCUGCUUUCCCUUGUGGAUUGCGGGUGCUCGAGUGGCGAACGGGUGAGUAACACGUGAGUGAUCUGCCCCCAACUUGGGUAUAAGCCCGGGAAACUGGGUCUAAUUCCCGAUAGGACUGCAGGGUGGUGCCUGUGGUGGAAAACGAUUUUCUAGUGGUUGGGGAUGAGCUCGCGGCCUAUCAGCUUGUUGGUGGGGUAAUGGCCUACCAAGGCGGCGACGGGUAGCCGGCCUGAGAGGGUGGACGGCCACAUUGGGACUGAGAUACGGCCCAGACUCCUACGGGAGGCAGCAGUGGGGAAUAUUGCACAAUGGGCGGAAGCCUGAUGCAGCGACGCCGCGUGGGGGAUGACGGCCUUCGGGUUGUGAACUCCUUUCGACCGCGAGGAAGCCACCUGGUUGGAAGGGUGGUGACGGUAGUGGUAGAAGAAGCACCGGCUAACUACGUG